rnacentral:tRNA from 1 species
GCGCCUUUAGUUUAAUGGUAAAACGGAGGUCUCCAAAACCUUUGUUGAGGGUUCGACUCCUUCAAGGCGCG